AGAAGACCAGGAAAAGAUAAGGAUAAAGAAUGUCAUAUAUCUCAGGAGCUAGAUCACUUCCCGAUGAACAAGUCAGAAUUGCCUCAACAAAAAUGGAUGGAAUUGACCGAAAAAAGCCAUUCAGCUUCGUUAUCGAUUAGGUAUCAGGUGCAUAAAAAGGAAAUCAAGUUUGGGAAAUGCCACCAAGGAAAUGAUUUAUGGACCAUAGUCAUUGCUAGAUCUCUUAUUGCUUUAUUUUCUUGCAUCCAGACAAGAAGAUCUAUUUCUCCCUUUGGGGUGACGCUAGCUGAACUUACUUAG
rnacentral:rRNA from 1 species